GUUUAUGAUGAUUCUAUUUUAUCACGACGGUCAACUGUGUUUGGCUCAAUGUUUAGAGCCAAACGUUGAUGAUACCAGCCUGUGACAGGGCGUUUAGACAACUGAUA
rnacentral:snoRNA from 1 species